rnacentral:rRNA from 1 species
GACGAACGCUGGCGGCGUGCUUAACACAUGCAAGUCGAACGGAAAGGCCCUGCUUUUGUGGGGUGCUCGAGUGGCGAACGGGUGAGUAACACGUGAGUAACCUGCCCUUGACUUUGGGAUAACUUCAGGAAACUGGGGCUACUACCGGAUAGGAGCUCCUGCUGCAUGGUGGGGGGUGGAAAGUUUCGGCGGUUGGGGAUGGACUCGCGGCUUAUCAGCUUGUUGGUGGGGUAGUGGCUUACCAAGGCUUUGACGGGUCGCCGGCCUGUGAGGGUGACCGGCCACAUUGGGACUGCGAUACGGCCCAGACUCCUACGGGAGGCAGCAGUGGGGAAUAUUGCACAAUGGGCGGAAGCCUGAUGCAGCAACGCCGCGUGCGUGAUGACGUCCUUCGGGUUGUAAACCGCUUUCGCCUGUGACGAAGCGGGAGUGACGGUAAUGGGUAAAGAAGCACCGGCUAACUACGUG